AACGAACGCUGGCGGCGUGCUUAACACAUGCAAGUCGAACGGAAAGGCCCUGCUUUUGUGGGGUGCUCGAGUGGCGAACGGGUGAGUAACACGUGAGUAACCUGCCCUUGACUUUGGGAUAACUUCAGGAAACUGGGGCUAAUACCGGAUAGGAGCUCCUGCUUCAUGGUGGGGGUUGGAAAGUUUCGGCGGUUGGGGAUGGACUCGCGGCUUAUCAGCUUGUUGGUGGGGUAGUGGCUUACCAAGGCUUUGACGGGUAGCCGGCCUGAGAGGGUGACCGGCGACAUUGGGACUGAGAUACGGCCCAGACUCCUACGGGAGGCAGAAGUGGGGAAUAUUGCACAAUGGGAGGAAGCCUGAUGAAGCAACGCCGCGUGCGGGAUGACGGCCUUCGGGUUGUAAACAGCUUUCGCCUGUGACGAAGCGUGAGUGACGGUAAUGGGUAAAGAAGCACCGGCUAACUACGUG
rnacentral:rRNA from 1 species